AGCAUUCGCACCUAGGUUUGGUAUGCGGACUUGAGCAUUCAAGUGCAGCAUUUGAAGCUUGAUGAAUUUUCGGUUCAAUCGACUAGAAUUGAGGUUUUUCCCCCUUUUAAUUACCUCCCUUAUUAUGCUCACGAGCUUCAAGAAAGGAAGCUAUUUAUUUAAACCCAUUCGGCUUUCAAAAUCCUCACUCAGCUACAGGAUCUGGUUCUACCGACAGAUGGUGCCUUUGAGGAAAUGUGAAAACAGCAUUGUGUAGAGGGUAGAAUCCCCAGAACACAGAGAAGAAGAAAAUCAUGCCAGUCUGCAGUCAAGACGAAACCCUCGGUUAGCAUCUAUAGGAAUUAAGGUUUUCUAUUUCAAUGACUUUGACUGUUCCUUGGCUGUUUUCAAAGAUAAAAUGGAUCUUUAGUUUUCUAAGUAACCUUUCCUCUGUUUUUUUUUUUCGUUUUCUUUCUCUAGGU